UUGCGCGUCGACAUGUGAACUGCAGGACACAUGAACAUCGACAUUUCGAACGCACAUUGCGGUCCUUGGAUUUCCAAUCCCGGACCACGCCUGGCUGAGGGUCGGCCAAACUACUCCUGGGCGCGAUGGCUGAGGCGACUCGGCAUAUCGUCGCGCCCGACGUUGGGGGCACGGGCGGGGGAUUGAUAUCCACCCUCUCGGCGCCCUUUGAGGCAAGAGAGUUCCGGGCGUGCGGCGGUCGCCGCCGGGCUUGAGAGAUGUAUUCGAUGCCCGGCCUGCAGCGGCCGCCACAGCCACAGCCCGAGAACGAAAAUAAAAAUCUCAUCCGACCUCAGAUCAGGCGAGACUACCCGCUGAAUUUAA
rnacentral:rRNA from 1 species